GUGAGCAGGAAGGCGCAGCAGUGGUUGCAGGCCACGGGGACCCCUUGGAGCAGUUUGGGCCUGUGUUCUGGGGUCUGGUCCACUCCCUUCUACACAGUUUCUCCUAUGAUGACCAUGUCCUGGUCUGGCCCCCUGGCCCCUGCCCGAUGGUCACGCAGAGCUCCCAGCCUCCCUCCGGCCCUAGAGAGGGUCCCGCGCCUUGGCAGGAGCAGGAAGACCUGGCAGAGGGAGGCGAGGCCUCGCAGUUUCCAGUCCCAAAGUCUGUAUUAUACUUCACAAAAGAAGCGAGUGAUUAUCAGUAUGAAGAGUCUGAUGAGGAGGUCCAAGAAGCUGAAGGUGAGGAGGAGGAC
ensembl:lncRNA